rnacentral:rRNA from 1 species
CAGCUAGUUGGUGGGGUAAUGGCUCACCAAGGCAACGAUCAGUAUCCGGCCUGAGAGGGCGGACGGACACACUGGGACUGAGACACGGCCCAGACUCCUACGGGAGGCAGCAGUGGGGAAUUGUUCGCAAUGGGCGCAAGCCUGACGACGCAACGCCGCGUGGAGGAUGAAGACCUUCGGGUCGUAAACUCCUUUCGAUCGAGACGAAUGGUUUCCGGGUGAAUAAUCCGGAAAAGUGACGGUACCGAGAGAAGAAGCCCCGGCUAACUCCGUGCCAGCAGCCGCGGUAAUACGGGGGGGGCAAGCGUUGUUCGGAAUUACUGGGCGUAAAGGGCUCGUAGGUGGCCAACUAAGUCAGACGUGAAAUCCCUCAGCUUAACUGGGGAACUGCGUCUGAUACUGGAUGGCUUGAGUUUGGGAGAGGGAUGCGGAAUUCCAGGUGUAGCGGUGAAAUGCGUAGAUAUCUGGAGGAACACCGGUGGCGAAGGCGGCAUCCUGGACCAACACUGACACUGAGGAGCGAAAGCCAGGGGAGCAAACGGGAUUAGAUACCCCGGU